CUUGGUCAUUUAGAGGAAGUAAAAGUCGUAACAAGGUUUCCGUAGGUGAACCUGCGGAAGGAUCAUUAUUAUUCGGUAGUUUACUAUCGUUUGAAAGGGGUGGAAACUUCACUGGCGAUCCCGGGAAGGAGUACACCUUUUUUCUUAACCCUUGACUUUUUGCGCACUCAUGUUUCCUCGGCAGGCCUGCCUGCCGGAUGGACAAAACCAUAACCUUUUUACUAUUCAAUCAGCGUCUGAACAAUUAUAAUAAUUACAACUUUCAACAACGGAUCUCUUGGUUCUGGCAUCGAUGAAGAACGCAGCGAAAUGCGAUAAGUAGUGUGAAUUGCAGAAUUCAGUGAAUCAUCGAAUCUUUGAACGCACAUUGCGCCCCUUGGUAUUCCAUGGGGCAUGCCUGUUCGAGCGUCAUUUGUACUCUCAAGCCUUGCUUGGUGUUGGGUGCUUGUCUUUGCUCUGCCUAGACUCUCCCUAAAUACAUUGGCAGCCGAUAUAUUGGUUUGAAGCGCAGCACAAUUGCUAUUCAAGCUUGUUUUAUCAGCAUCCACAAAGAAUCAUAACACUUUUGACCUCGGAUCAGGUAGGGAUACCCGCUGAACUUAAGCAUAUCAAUAAGCGGAGGA
rnacentral:rRNA from 1 species